rnacentral:rRNA from 1 species
GUUUAUCAAAAACAUGUCUUUUUGAAUUUAAUUUAAAGUCUAACCUGCCCACUGAAAUUUUAAAUGGCCGCAGUAUUUUAACUGUGCAAAGGUAGCAUAAUCAUUAGUCUUUUAAUUGAAGGCUGGAAUGAAUGGUUGAAUGAAAUAUUAACUGUUUCAUAUAGAUUUUUAAUAGAAUUUUAUUUUUUAGUUAAAAAGCUAAAAUUUAAUUAAAAGACGAGAAGACCCUAUAAAUCUUUAUAUUUUAUUUUUUAAUUUUUAUAUAGAUAAUUUAAAUUUUUAUAAAACAAAAUAUUUUAUUGGGGUGAUAUUAAAAUUUAAAAAACUUUUAAUAAAAAAUUUACAAAAAUUAUUGAAUUAUUGAUCCAUAAAUUAUGAUUAAAAAAUUAAGUUACUUUAGGGAUAACAGCGUAAUUUUUUUAGAGAGUUCAUAUUAAUAAAAAAGUUUGCGACCUCGAUGUUGGAUUAAGAUAAAAUUUAGGUGAAGAAG